rnacentral:rRNA from 1 species
AGCUCGCCGAGUGGUAGGGAUGAUUAUUGGGCUUAAAGCGUCCAUAGCCGGCCUCUCAAGUCUCUCGUCAAAUCCAGCGAUUCAAUCGUUGGACUGCGGGAGAUACUGUCAGGCUAGGGGGCGGGAGAAGCCGACGGUAUUUUCGGGGUAGGGGUAAAAUCCUAUAAUCCCGGGAAGACCACCAGUGGCGUAGGCGGUCGGCUAGCACGCGCUCGACGGUGAGGGCGAAAGCUGGGGGAGCGAACC